CAAGUCGAACGAUGAAGUUCCUUCGGGAAUGGAUUAGUGGCGAACGGGUGAGGAACACGUGAGAAACCUGCCUUUCAUUCUGGGAUAACACCGGGAAACCGGUGCUAAUACCGGAUACUCCAUCUUGGCGGCAUCGCCGAGCUGGGAAAAGUUUUGAUGAAAGAUGGUCUCGCGGCCUAUCAGCUAGUUGGUGAGGUAAAGGCUCACCAAGGCGACGACGGGUAGCCGGCCUGAGAGGGCGACCGGCCACACUGGGACUGAGACACGGCCCAGACUCC
rnacentral:rRNA from 2 species